CAAAUAUAGCACCUCAGUGCAGCUCUUCUUGUAUUGUGGAACUGCUGUGUCCACGCCAAGCAUAAUUCCGGGUGGAGAAACGUGUACCAGGAACGGAUGGAGCUUUUGUACGGUGAGAGGCACUAGGAGAGCUUCCAGUGGAAUACUUAAGAGAGAGUUGCAUAAGAACAGCUUGCAAAGAAUGUCACAGACCCC